AUGAGGCCCUUGCUCGGCAAGCUCGCCGCCCUGGCAGGGGAAGAGUACAGCAAGCUGAAAGGGGUGAAGAAGCAAGCGUCCUUCCUGGAGAAGGAGCUCAGCGCCAUGAACGCCGCCCUCGAGAAGAUGGAGCUCAUGGAUGAGCUCGAUCCGGUUUCCAGGGACUGGAGAGACCACGUCAGGGAGAUGUCCUACGACAUGGAGAACUGCAUCGAUGACUUCAUUCGCCAGUUCGGAGGCGGUCAUGCAAGGCUAGGCUUCAUCACGAAGACUGCUCGACGUCUCAAGAUGUUGGGACAACGCCAUAGGAUCGCUGACCGGAUGGAGGAGCUCAAGGUUCUUGCGCUAGAGGCAAAUAAUCGGCGCAUCAGGUACAAGAUCGAUGAAUGUAAUUGUAAUUUUGGCUCUGCGACUAUUGAUCCUCGGAUGUCGACGAUAUAUGUGGAGGCAGCUGAUCUUGUGGGUACUGAUGGCCCAAUGAAGGAGCUUAUCAAUUUGUUGACUAGUACCGAAGAAAAGAAGCUCAAGGUGGUGUCCAUUAUGGGAUUCGGAGGACUGGGUAAAACUACACUUGCCAAACAGGUGUACGAUGAGAUCGGAGGACAGUAUGACUGCACAGUUUUUGUUCCAGUAUCCCAAAGGCCUAAUAUGACAGGAUUUAUGACAGGACUUCUCUAUCGUAUUUGUGUACAACUAAACCUUCAAAUGGAAAGGUCUUCUCCAGCAUGUGAGCUGCAAGACAUCAUAAAUGACCUUGAAAAACAUCUCACACAUAGGAGUGUUCAUUUAAAUGUUUGCUGCUUGCAUGGCCUUAUGUAA
rnacentral:rRNA from 1 species